rnacentral:rRNA from 1 species
AUGAUUGAUUUUCAAAGUCAACAUCAGGGAAUGCAUUUGUACAGGAUUUCAACAUACAUACUGACAUGGAAAACAUAUACAAUAACAUGGGAGUUUGUCCACAGAACGAUAUGCUUUGGGAAUGCUGACUGGCAGAGAACAUCUCCAGUUUUAUGGUUGACUGAAGAGCCUUAUUGGUUCUGCUUUGGAUCUUGUUAG